rnacentral:rRNA from 1 species
AUUGAACGCUGGCGGCAUGCUUUACACAUGCAAGUCGAACGGUAACAGGGUGCUUGCACCGCUGACGAGUGGCGAACGGGUGAGUAAUGCGUCGGAACGUGCCGAGUAGUGGGGGAUAACGCAGCGAAAGUUGUGCUAAUACCGCAUACGUACUGAGGUAGAAAGUGGGGGACCUUCGGGCCUCACGCUAUUCGAGCGGCCGACGUCUGAUUAGCUAGUAGGUGAGGUAAAGGCUCACCUAGGCGACGAUCAGUAGCGGGUCUGAGAGGAUGAUCCGCCACACUGGGACUGAGACACGGCCCAGACUCCUACGGGAGGCAGCAGUGGGGAAUUUUGGACAAUGGGCGCAAGCCUGAUCCAGCAAUGCCGCGUGCAGGAUGAAGGCCUUCGGGUUGUAAACUGCUUUUGUACGGAGCGAAAAGGCUUCCACUAAUACUGGAGGCUCAUGACGGUACCGUAAGAAUAAGCACCGGCUAACUACGUGCCAGCCGCCGCGGUAAUAC